UACGUAGGGGGCAAGCGUUGUCCGGAAUUAUUGGGCGUAAAGCGCGCGCAGGCGGUUCUUUAAGUUCGGUGUUUAAACCCAGGGCUCAACCCUGGGUCGCACGGGAAACUGGGGAACUGGAGUGUAGGAGAGGAAAGUGGAAUUCCACGUGUAGCGGUGAAAUGCGUAGAGAUGUGGAGGAACACCAGUGGCGAAGGCGACUUUCUGGCCUAUAACUGACGCUGAGGCGCGAAAGCGUGGGGAGCAAACAGG
rnacentral:rRNA from 1 species